ensembl:miRNA
GCCAUGGUGAGGAAGCCAGGGAGAAUGUAGUGUUACCGUGAGCCUGUCAGCAAAUACCACUCUCAAACCAUCACGGGGCCACACUUUCUCCUUCAUGGGUCUCCCCGCUGCAGGU